AAGUCGUAACAAGGUUUCCGUAGGUGAACCUGCGGAAGGAUCAUUACAGAGAACGUGCCCUCGUGGGUACAAUCUCCCACCCCGUGUCUAUAUUCCCUUGUUGCUUUGGCGGGCCCGUCGCUAGACCACCGGCUCUGCCUGGUCAGUGCCCGCCAGAGGACCCCAACCCUCUGUUUAAUGACGUCUGAGUAUCAUGCAAAUAUAUAAAACUUUCAACAACGGAUCUCUUGGUUCUG
rnacentral:misc_RNA from 1 species